rnacentral:rRNA from 1 species
GACGAACGCUGGCGGCGUGCUUAACACAUGCAAGUCGAACGGAAAGGCCCUGCUUUUGUGGGGUGCUCGAGUGGCGAACGGGUGAGUAACACGUGAGUAACCUGCCCUUGACUUUGGGAUAACUUCAGGAAACUGGGGCUAAUACCGGAUAGGAGCACCUGCUGCAUGGUGGGGGUUGGAAAGUUUCGGCGGUUGGGGAUGGACUCGCGGCUUAUCAGCUUGUUGGUGGGGUAGUGGCUUACCAAGGCUUUGACGGGUAGCCGGCCUGAGAGGGUGACCGGCCACAUUGGGACUGAGAUACGGCCCAGACUCCUACAGGAGGCAGCAGUGGGGAAUAUUGCACAAUGGGCGGAAGCCUGAUGCAGCAACGCCGCGUGCGGGAUGACGGCCUUCGGGUUGUAAACCGCUUUCGCCUGUGACGAAGCGUGAGUGACGGUAAUGGGUAAAGAAGCACCGGCUAACUACGUG